AAGGGCCGGGCAAGACCGGUGCCAGCCGCCGCGGUAACACCGGCGGCCCGAGUGGUGAUCGUGAUUAUUGGGUCUAAAGGGUCCGUAGCCGGUUUGGUCAGUCCUCCGGGAAAUCUGAUGGCUCAACCAUUAGGCUUUCGGGGGAUACUGCCAGGCUUGGAACCGGGAGAGGUAAGAGGUACUACAGGGGUAGGAGUGAAAUCUUGUAAUCCCUGUGAGACCACCUGUGGCGAAGGCGUCUUACCAGAACGGGUUCGACGGUGAGGGACGAAAGCUGGGGGCACGAACCGGAUUAGAUACCCGGGUAGUCCCAGCCGUAAACGAUGCUCGCUAGGUGUCAGGCAUGGCGCGACCGUGUCUGGUGCCGCAGGGAAGCCGUGAAGCGAGCCACCUGGGAAGUACGGCCGCAAGGCUGAAACUUAAAGGAAUUGGCGGGGGAGCACAACAACGGGUGGAGCCUGCGGUUUAAUUGGACUCAACGCCGGACAACUCACCGGGGACGACAGCAAUAUGUAGGCCAGGCUGAAGACCUUGCCUGAAUCGCUGAGAGGAGGUGCAUGGCCGUCGCCAGUUCGUACUGUGAAGCAUCCUGUUAAGUCAGGCAACGAGCGAGACCCGUGCCCACUGUUACCAGCAUGUCCUCCGGGACGAUGGGUACUCUGUGGGGACCGCCGAUGUUAAAUCGGAGGAAGGUGCGGGCCACGGUAGGUCAGUAUGCCCCGAAUUUCCCGGGCUACACGCGGGCUACAAUGAAUGGGACAAUGGGUCCCUACCCUGAAAAGGGCUGGUAAUCUCCCAAACCCAUCCGUAGUUCGGAUCGAGGGCUGUAACUCGCCCUCGUGAAGCUGGAAUCCGUAGUAAUCGCGUUUCAAUAUAGCGCGGUGAAUACGUCCCUGCUCCUUGCACACACCGCCCGUCAAACCACCCGAGUGAGGUAUGGGUGAGGGCACGAACUCUGUGUCGUGUUCGAACCUGUGCUUUGCAAGGGGGGUUAAGUCGUAACAAGGUAGCCGUAGGGGAAUCUGCGGCUGGAUCACCUCCAAGGGCGA
rnacentral:rRNA from 1 species